rnacentral:rRNA from 1 species
AUUGAACGCUGGCGGCAGGCUUAACACAUGCAAGUCGAACGGUAACAUAAAGGAGCUUGCUUCUUUGAUGACGAGUGGCGGACGGGUGAGUAAUGCUUGGGAAUCUAGCUUAUGGAGGGGGAUAACUACGGGAAACUGUAGCUAAUACCGCGUAGAAUCGGGAGCUGAAAGUGUGGGACCUUCGGGCCACAUGCCAUAGGAUGAGCCCAAGUGGGAUUAGGUAGUUGGUGAGGUAAAGGCUCACCAAGCCGACGAUCUCUAGCUGGUCUGAGAGGAUGACCAGCCACACUGGGACUGAGACACGGCCCAGACUCCUACGGGAGGCAGCAGUGGGGAAUAUUGCGCAAUGGGGGCAACCCUGACGCAGCCAUGCCGCGUGAAUGAAGAAGGCCUUCGGGUUGUAAAGUUCUUUCGGUAGCGAGGAAGGCAUUUAGUUUAAUAGACUAGGUGAUUGACGUUAACUACAGAAGAAGCACCGGCUAACUCCGUG